AGAACCUCCAUAUUGUUGUCCAUAGUGGGCAGAAGACCUGAACAGACACAUCUCCGAAGAGGGUGUACAAACAGCCACUAGAUACAUGAAAAGAUGCUCAACUUCACUAGCUAUUAGGGAAAUGAAAAUGAAAGCUGGAACUUUUAAAAGAAAAACUUAUCCAACAAUUUCACUUCUGAGUAUAUUCUCAAAUGAUUUGAAAACAGAGACUUGAAAGAAUGCAAGCUCCUUGAGAGGAGUGGCCUUGUGUGGCUUGUUCAACACUCUACUCCAGAGACCUGAAACUGUGCCUGGCUCAACAACCUUCAGAGGUUCUGAACGAUGACUGACGCGGGCUUCUGCGAUAGCCCUCGCAGUCGCCGUGGCCGCGCAGCGAUAAGGCACCCGCGCGUCUAGCCGGGCGCCGGCACCCGCCCCCCAGCGCUGCCGGGAGGAAGCUUCCGCUCGCCGACCGGACAAAAGUACCGCCUUCGCGCGGCCGUCCGCUGGACGCUGGGGAGCCAGGCGCCUCGC